CGCUGGCGGCAGGCCUAACACAUGCAAGUCGAGCGGUAGCACAGAGAGCUUGCUCUCGGGUGACGAGCGGCGGACGGGUGAGUAAUGUCUGGGAAACUGCCUGAUGGAGGGGGAUAACUACUGGAAACGGUAGCUAAUACCGCAUAACGUCGCAAGACCAAAGAGGGGGACCUUCGGGCCUCUUGCCAUCAGAUGUGCCCAGAUGGGAUUAGCUAGUAGGUGGGGUAAUGGCUCACCUAGGCGACGAUCCCUAGCUGGUCUGAGAGGAUGACCAGCCACACUGGAACUGAGACACGGUCCAGACUCCUACGGGAGGCAGCAGUGGGGAAUAUUGCACAAUGGGCGCAAGCCUGAUGCAGCCAUGCCGCGUGUAUGAAGAAGGCCUUCGGGUUGUAAAGUACUUUCAGCGAGGAGGAAGGCAUUGUGGUUAAUAACCACAGUGAUUGACGUUACUCGCAGAAGAAGCACCGGCU
rnacentral:rRNA from 1 species